GAUGAACGCUGGCGGCGUGCCUAAUACAUGCAAGUCGAGCGAACAGACGAGGAGCUUGCUCCUCUGACGUUAGCGGCGGACGGGUGAGUAACACGUGGAUAACCUACCUAUAAGACUGGGAUAACUUCGGGAAACCGGAGCUAAUACCGGAUAAUAUAUUGAACCGCAUGGUUCAAUAGUGAAAGACGGUUUUGCUGUCACUUAUAGAUGGAUCCGCGCCGCAUUAGCUAGUUGGUAAGGUAACGGCUUACCAAGGCAACGAUGCGUAGCCGACCUGAGAGGGUGAUCGGCCACACUGGAACUGAGACACGGUCCAGACUCCGACGGGAGGCAGCAGUAGGGAAUCUUCCGCAAUGGGCGAAAGCCUGACGGAGCAACGCCGCGUGAGUGAUGAAGGUCUUAGGAUCGUAAAACUCUGUUAUUAGGGAAGAACAAAUGUGUAAGUAACUAUGCACGUCUUGACGGUACCUAAUCAGAAAGCCACGGCUAACUACGUG
rnacentral:rRNA from 1 species